rnacentral:rRNA from 1 species
UAGCGUAGGGGGCAAGCGUUGUCCGGAUUUACUGGGCGUAAAGAGCGUGUAGGCGGCCUAAGCAGGUCCGAUUGUGGAAAACUGGAGGCUUAACCUCCAGACCGUCGACGGAAACCGGCGCGGCUAGAGUCCGGGAAGAGGAGAGUGGAAUUCCUGGUGUAGCGGUGAAAUGACGCAGAUAUCAGGAAGAACACCAAUGGCGAAGGCAGCUCUCUGGGACGGUACUGACGCUGAGACGCGAAAGCGUGGGGGAGCGAACAGG